CUCAUUCAUUCAAAUCAAAGCAAAUACAAAGGAAUAGAUGCAAAGAUUUCAAAGUUUAAACUGAUACAAAGGUUACAAAGAUGGGCAUUCCCCAAUACCAUAAAAGAGUAGAUAGGUAACAUCGAGAUAGACUCCAUGAGAGCUAUGAACGAGUCACUAGGAAGCGGCUUGGAGCUCCGAUGAGAGCAGAUUUGUAAAUCCGAUCGGGUUUUAAUUCGGGUCCAACAAGUCAACGAUGAGUCAACACCAACGCAAAUCGUCCGGUUUGUCGACAUUUGAUAUGUAUGGUGUUCCGCACAUAACUUCUUAAACUUCAGACAUAUAACCAUGUAUUAUAUAUAGGUCAUGUAGGUGGAUGUCCUUUACCAUAGUUUGCAUGUGUGGCCAUGCAUUCUGUAAUACUUGAGGUAGCUCACUAUCUUUUUUCCUCAUCAGCUUGCUGGAGUUUCUCUCUUGAGACUCUUGUAGAUGAGAAGUUGAUGUUGCGUUUCUUGUGAACGUUAUAUCAAGUGUUAUCAAUUGUGUGUUUUGAAUCCAUUGUGUUUUGAAUUCUCUGUUUUACGUUAACAGCCAAGUUCAGACUGUGAUAUGUGACUGAGGCGAGAAACCCAUAAGAGAAGGAAGCCAUAAUCCUGAGAAGAUUAUCGCCAAACACCGCCGCCGUCUCCGCCUGGCAAGGCUCAGGUGACGGUACGGAGGAGGGGUCUUCAGAGGUGAGCCAGGUUCCAGAUCGAGAUUUAAAAAAGACCAGGGGUUGUAGAUCCGCCGACACAGAGGUUGACCAAGGAUAAGACUGGGUGGAGUUCGCCGGAAACCACCUCCAUCGAUAAUCGAUGAACCACAUGCCAUACCUAGAGUAGGUUGGUUCAAGAGGGUUUGGGGAGAUUUCAAAAGGGGACAAAAGAUGGGGAGACAAAACAUAAAACUAACGCUAACCGAGCAGAGAUUUAAAGGGAACAUGAGAGAGGAACUAUUGUCCCGACGCCGGCGAGCUAAAGCUUCGCCGACGUCGGAGGAGUUUAAUGGGAGAGAUACCUCGAUAAUUGUGUCUGGGAGAGAAAGGAGUUCUGCUGUGACGAGUUCGUUAAAAUUGUACUAUACAUUCAUACGUUUGAUUAGCACAAGAAUUAAUGCUUCGAUCAUGAUCAUAAAUUGGUAUCUAAAUUGUUCUCAAAAAUUUUAUGCAUAUCACUCACUGUGUUUUGUUGGUCUUUUAAAUUCUUGAUGGAUCGGUCUUUCUUAUUACUAGCAAAUACAGCUUGGUUAUGAGUGAGAGUGUUUUUUGUUUGGUUAUUGGUUAUAUUGUUUAGGUGCUACUGGGAACAAGAGCUCAAAGUAAUGAAAAGCUUCAUAAUUUUUUGGAUAAGGUGAAGGCACAAACCCAAAGAGCUGAAGGUUGUUGAAGCUCAUUGCCAUCUAGGCUUUACCAUUACAAAGGUGGAUAUAUUCAGAGGUGAUGCAGUCUUAUGGUAGAAUUCAUUUGAUCACCUUCGGCGUCAAGGCUUUGACUGUUUGAUCUACGUAACAUGGAGAAUGGUUCAAGGUUUUCUCAUUCGCUAGAUCUUGAUUAUUGUCGUGUCAUGUCUGUUAUAAUCUCCGCAGAUCAGUACAUGGAUCACCAUCCAGCGGGUGGAACUCAAAUCGUUUGGUGGGUGAUGAAGAAGGAGAACCAGCAAGAUUACUUUGAUUGAGCAAAACCUGUAAUCAGCCCCCACUUGUGUUGCCUCGUUAGACUCUACUGCAGAUGUCUACGGUACAAACUCCCAGGUCACGGAUGAUGCUUUUGUUUAUCAGUGAUGGCUUUAACUGAUUGUCCUCUGACGUUCUCAUGUUGCCCAUAACAUACUGUUGCCAACAAUCUGAUUAAAUUUGUUUUAUGUUUCUGCUUCAUAUACGUGCUGCUAUCAUGAUCAUAAAAAUAUUUUUUUUUUUCAAAAAUAAGAAUCCCAGUAAAAAUAUACCAUUGGAGUAGUAUAAUUAUAAUUAACAAACAAAAUUUUUUUAUUUUAUAAAAGUAUACUUUUUAAUCUUAAAACCUCAAAACAAUGAUCUGCCAAUGGAGAUGUCCUUACACAUUGAUGGUUUAAA